UUAUUUUAUUUUGGUUAGUAUUUUUGUUAUUAUUUUAUUUUACAUGUAAAUAUUUGUGGGAAUUUAUUUGAUUUUUAAAAAAUUAAAUAUUUUUAUUUAUUCGCAGUAAUUAAUAUUAAUUAAAAAAGAAAUUUUGUAUUAGUAAUAAUAUAUAGUAUUGGUAAAAUUUGUGCCAGCUACCGCGGUUAUACAAAUAAUACAAAUAAAAAUUUUUAGUAUUAGUUAAAUUAUAAAUUUAAUAAUAUAAAUAUAAAUUUAUUAGGUGAAAUUUUUAAAUUUAUUUAUUUAUUAUUACUAAGGUUAAUUUAAGCUAUAAACUUUUUAUAAUAAACUAGGAUUAGAUACCCUAUUAUUGAAAAUAAAUAUUUAAAUACUAAAGUAGUAGUAGUUAUAUUCUUAAAAUUUAAAAAAUUUGGCGGUGUUUUAGUCUAUUUAGAGGAAUCUGUCCUGUAAUUGAUAAUCCACAUUGAACCUUACUUAAGUUUGUUUAAUUUGUAUAUCGCCGUCAUCAGAAUAUGUUAUUAGAUAAUAAUUUUCUUAAUAUUUAAUUAAAUAAAAUGUCAGGUCAAGGUGCAGUUUAUAUUUAAGUAGAGAUGGAUUACAAUAAAUUUAUUUAAACGGAUAAUUUUUUGAAAUAAAAAUUUGAAGGUGGAUUUAAUAGUAAUAUGAAAUAGAUUAUUUAUAUGAUUUUAGCUCUAAAACAUGUACAUAUCGCCCAUCGUUCUUAUUUUUAAAAUAAGAUAAGUUGUAACAUAGUAGAUGUACUGGAAAGUGUAUCUAGAAAGA
rnacentral:ncRNA from 1 species